rnacentral:rRNA from 1 species
GAUCCUGGCUCAGGAUGAACGCUAGCUACAGGCUUAACACAUGCAAGUCGAGGGGAAACGGAUAUUGGAAGCUUGCUUCCGAUAGGCGUCGACCGGCGCACGGGUGAGUAACGCGUAUCCAACCUGCCCACCACUUGGGGAUAACCUUGCGAAAGUAAGACUAAUACCCAAUGAUAUCUCUAGAAGACAUCUGAAAGAGAUUAAAGAUUUAUCGGUGAUGGAUGGGGAUGCGGU